rnacentral:rRNA from 1 species
GACGGAGGGUGCAAGCGUUGUUCGGAUUGACUGGGCGUAAAGGGCGUGUAGGCGGUUGCCCAAGUCCGAUGUGAAAGCCCGGGGCUUAGCCUCGGAAGUGCAUCGGAAACUAGGCAGCUGGAGCGCGAUAGAGGAGGGUAGAAUUCCUGGUGUAGCGGUGAAAUGCGUAGAUAUCAGGAGGAAUACCGGCGGCGAAGGCGGCCCUCUGGAUCGUUGCUGACGCUGAGACGCGAAAGCGUGGGGAG